rnacentral:lncRNA from 1 species
CUGAUUUAUGUCACAAAUUGACAUAAAAAGUAUCAAUUAAUAUCUAAAUUAUCUAACUUUAUUAAGAAAUUGAUACUUGUUAUUAUAUUUUGCAGAAGAAGAGAUCAUCAAUAGAAAGAACAAGGAAAGAGAAUUCCAACGGCGCAAAUUUUAUGCAAAACGGAGUUAAAUUGACCCAGAAAUUGAAGAAUGAAGAAAGAAGACUCAAUUGGGUCAAACCCGAGUCAAAUCAGAUCAAAAUUGGUCAAAAAUCAACUGAUUUGGUGAUCUGGUUAGCCUCCUGGUCCACAGCAACAGGCGCAUGGAUCAUGGACCCAUCGGCGCACCAUAAACCCUCUAAAACCUCUUAGUCCCACAUCGGAAGUUUUGAAAACCUUAUAACCNNN